UGUGUUAUUAGAUCCUUUAAUGCUAAAACUAAUUGAAGCUAGAGAUUUGCUAAAUUGACACAUGGUUGGGUAAAAACUAAUCAUACCUUCAAUCCACAAUAUAAUUUUUUUGCCAAGCAAAUUAUAUUCUCUCUCUUUUUGAUUUUUUUGCUGAAUAUCAGUGUUCUAAACUAUGGUGGAUGAGGCUGCAUAUGUGGCCGUAUAUGCACAUGCAACCCCUCAACCAGAGCACAUUGCCCAUAUAUAGUUAAAGAAUGUGGUUAUACCAUAUAUGGACUGAAA
rnacentral:lncRNA from 1 species